GUGCUUGCUUUUGCAGCACAUAUACUAAAAAUUGGGAAGAUACAGAGAAGAUUCGCAUAGUCCCUGUGCAAGGAUGACAUGCAAAUUCAUAAAGCAUUCCAUAUUUAA
rnacentral:snRNA from 1 species